CAAUUUGGAAGUGCUAAAGUUGGGAUUUUGCCAUAAAUACGCAACUGUAACAUUUCGUUUGUAUUUGUGAAUUAUUGUCCAAACAUUGACUAAUUAGACUCAAAAAAUUCGUCUCGCAAAGUACAACAAAAAUGUGCAAUUAGUUUUUGAUUUCAUCUACAUUUAGUACUCCAUGCAUGUACCGCAAGUUUGAUGUGAUGGAGAAUCUUCUUUUUGCAUAGUGUCAAAGUUGGGAAUUUGGAGGUAACUAAACAUGGCCCAAGAUUGUUCAGGGUCAAGUUCAUUAAGUCAUGGCCGUGCAUCAGGACCACUCACUGCACAAGGCCAAAAGCAGAAGCUUCAUGUCUCUUUCCCUGUGCAUCAGAUUUGAGAAGUGAUACGCAUUCUAUUGUAAGGUGGUGUUUGGAUCACUAGUUCAUGAGCUAAACUUUAGCUCUUAGCUCAUAAAAUUUAGCCUCUAAAAUUUAGUUUUGCUGGCGUGUUUGGAUUCAUGGGCUAAAUUUUAGUCCCUCAUCAAAUAAUGACUGAUUUGCCCUUAUGACUCCCUCCUCCUCCUUUCCCUCCUCCUCUCUCUCUCUCCUCUCCCCUCUCUCUCCAUCAACUCGCUUAGCAAGCUCAAAGCUGUCAAAUUUUAGCUCCUAAAGUUUAGCUAUUUGUCACUUUUAG
rnacentral:lncRNA from 1 species